UACAGAGGUCCCAAGCGUUGUUCGGAAUCACUGGGCGUAAAGCGCACGUAGGCGGCUUUCUAAGUCAGGGGUGAAAUCCUGGAGCUCAACUCCAGAACUGCCUUCGAUACUGAGAGUCUCGAGUCCGGGAGAGGUGAGUGGAACUGCGAGUGUAGAGGUGAAAUUCGUAGAUAUUCGCAAGAACACCAGUGGCGAAGGCGGCUCACUGGCCCGGUACUGACGCUGAGGUGCGAAAGCGUGGGGAGCAAACAGG
rnacentral:rRNA from 1 species